GACGAACGCUGGCGGCGUGCCUAAUACGUGCAAGUAGAACGCUGAAGGAGGAGCUUGCUCUUCUGGAUGAGUUGCGAACGGGUGAGUAACGCGUAGGUAACCUGCCUGGUAGCGGGGGAUAACUAUUGGAAACGAUAGCUAAUACCGCAUAACAGUAGAUGUUGCAUGACAUUUGCUUAAAAGGUGCAAUUGCACCACUACCAGAUGGACCUGCGUUGUAUUAGCUAGUUGGUGGGGUAACGGCUCACCAAGGCGACGAUACAUAGCCGACCUGAGAGGGUGAUCGGCCACACUGGGACUGAGACACGGCCCAGACUCCUACGGGAGGCAGCAGUAGGGAAUCUUCGGCAAUGGACGGAAGUCUGACCGAGCAACGCCGCGUGAGUGAAGAAGGUUGUCGGAUCGUAAAGCUCUGUUGUAAGAGAAGAACGAGUGUGAGAGUGGAAAGUUCACACUGUGACGGUAUCUUACCAGAAAGGGACGGCUAACUACGUG
rnacentral:rRNA from 1 species